rnacentral:rRNA from 1 species
CAACUCGGCUGCAUGAAGCUGGAAUCGCUAGUAAUCGCGGAUCAGAAUGCCGCGGUGAAUACGUUCCCGGGUCUUGUACACACCGCCCGUCACACCAUGGGAGUCGGGAAUGCCCGAAGUCAGUGACCCAACCGAAAGGGGGAGCUGCCGAAGGCAGGCCUGGUAACUGGGGUGAAGUCGUAACAAGGUAAC